CAACUAUUCAGAACUAUUCAGAAAAAUAUUCUUGAAAAACGCAACACUUGUUGAGAGUUUGGAAAAAGUUAUAAGGACAUUUUUCAGAACAUUCAUUUUCAGAACAUUAACAUUCAUUGGUUUUACCACUAUGCAGUGUUUAAGUACUUUCCUCAGUUUCCAUUAAAGACUAUUGUUGAACUUAAAGUUGAAAAAUCAAAAGAUAUAAUCAAAGAAGAAACAAGAAAGCAAGAGAUCAAAAGCAACAACUGAAAAUUUGUAAAGCCUGAAGCCCGAAAGUUAUUCUCCGAAAGAAAACAAUUUCAUUGGUUGUACUCUCGUGUACUUAAUACAAAAAGAAGGAAGGAGGGAGGGGGAGGGGUUUAGUUCAGAUCUGAUAAACCCUCGUUUCAGAUCAGAUCAGAACUAAAAACAGUAUGUAUGGAGUCUUA